AGAAUCAACGCUGGCGGCGUGCCUAACACAUGCAAGUCGAACGAGAAAGUGGAGCAAUCCAUGAGUAAAGUGGCGACCGGGUGAGUAACACGUGACUAACCUACCUUCGAGUGGGGGAUAACCUCGGGAAACCGGGGCUAAUACCGCAUAAAAUCUUUGGAUCGGAAGAACUGGAGAUCAAUGGAGCAAUUCGCUUGAAGAGGGGGUCGCGGCUGAUUAGCUAGUUGGCGGGUAAUGGCCCACCAAGGCUUUGAUCGGUAGCCGGCCUGAGAGGGCGCACGGCCACACUGGAACUGAAACACGGUCCAGACUCCUACGGGAGGCAGCAGUGGGGAAUUUUGCGCAAUGGGGGAAACCCUGACGCAGCAACGCCGCGUGGAGGAUGAAGUCCCUUGGGACGUAAACUCCUUCGACCGGGACGAUUAUGACGGUACCGGUGGAAGAAGGCCCCGGCUAACUUCGCGCCAGCAGCCGC
rnacentral:rRNA from 1 species